AAAAAUGUAGAAUAUGGGCAUUUUCUAACUCAUUCAUGUCCAUCAACAAAAUUUGGGGUAAUGAGCACACUUCGGUUGUGCUGACCCUUACGAAUUCCCCAAAUGCGGGAAUCUUGACUGCAUAAUUUCUGGUAGUGGGGGACUGCGGUCGCGCUCUCCCCUG